rnacentral:rRNA from 1 species
GGGCCCGCACAAGCGGUGGAGCAUGUGGUUUAAUUCGAUGCAACGCGAAGAACCUUACCAGGGCUUGACAUACUACAGAUCUUUUUGAGAAAGAAGAGUGCCUUCGGGAAUGUAGAUACAGGUGGUGCAUGGCUGUCGUCAGCUCGUGUCGUGGAGUUGGUUAGUACCCGCAACGAGCGCAACCCUUAUUUUUAGUUACCAACUUGUUGGGUUCUCUAGAAAGACUGCCGGUGACAAACCGGAGGAAGGUGAGGAUGACGUCAAGUCAGCAUGCCCCUUAUGUCCUGGCUACACACGUGCUACAAUGGCUAAGACAAAGAGUUGCGAGUUCGUGAGAACCAGCU